rnacentral:snRNA from 1 species
UGGUUUCUCUUCAGAUCGUAUAAAUCUUUCACCUUUUACUAAAGAUUUCUGUGGAGAGGAACAAAUUG